rnacentral:lncRNA from 1 species
ACAUUUGUUUUCUUAGAUGCUUUUGGGAAGGUAACAACAUCAAUUUCAUAAAUGCUGGGGUAAGAUGCAUCACGCAGUGCUACUCAACAUGAGAAUUCCCGGCCGCAUUACCUGUAUGUUGAGUGAUCGCACAGUACAACCUUUAGAAGCUUGUAAGGAGUAGACAACUAGAUGCGAAUAGUUUCAAUAUGGAUUCGCAUCAAAUGAUCUCUUGCCAGUGAUUACUAUAACCUCUAUCCCAAAAUUCUUGGAACUGGUCAUACCAAUAAUGAAGUAUUGUGUACGUUGAAGACGUAGCUCAAGGCCUUGCGAAAGCUCCGUCAGCCUUUGUAUUGGAAAACAGUUGGUUGUAGUUGCUUCUGAAUGAUAUUAUUAAUAGAUACUGUAAAAAUGAAGUGUGCCACUCAUUUUCAGAGCCCUGUUAAGAUGUGUUGGUAAUGUGUUUGAAGGUUGUUUGAUUUGUGUUGUAUUCAGCUAUAAAUCAAAGAUUCAGAACAUGGUUAUGUUACUGGUUUCCAAAUAAAAAAAUUGCCUUGUGAUGUUAGUGUUCAUUGUUUUCACAGGAGAUCAGGUUCCCUGUUGAUGAAUCAAGAAGGCAAACGCAUCCAUGCCUUAAGUUCAAAUGUGUCUCUUCUAUUUUCUAUUACUGACUCCUUUAUUUUGAUUUCUUCAUUGUAAUGGAAUUGGUUUUCAUUCCAAAUUAGUCAAAACCUCCUAGAGUCAUUAAGUUCUGUUAGCAUUUGAAGAUAGAACUAGAACUAAAUGAUUGACUGGAUUAAAUUCCGAUAAAGAAUUAAGUUAUGUAUUUAGAGAUAUUUUGUUUUUUUUUUCAUUUGUUCAAUUUGGUUAGUGGUGAUUUCUUAAAGACUCAAUCCAUGUGCGUUUAUGCAUUUUUCUUUUGCCUUAAUUUCUGUUUCUUGGGGAGUUUAUACAGAUUCUUAUUUUAUGCUUCACAUGCCACAUGAAAGAUCGAAGCAUUUUGUGUGAUUAGAACUGACUUGCAUCACAGUAACUUUAAACCACUGCCACAUUUUUAUAAUAACAGUCUGAGAUCUCCCUGAAGGAUUCAAAGCAUUUUAUUUUAUAUUAACCUCCUUUAAGUGGGUUUCGACACUACCACAAGUUCUUUAAAUACUAAAACGAUUUUGAGUCUUUUGUAUCAUCUGAUUGAAAUACCUGAAAGCACUCGUGGCUGCAAAAAUAUAUCGAUUUUGAGUAUGGCGUGCAUGUAAAUUAUAUCGAUUUUUUCUAUAUGACAAGUAAGACUCUCUUUUACAAUGGCACGGAUGCGUCAUUGAGUAAUCAUGAUUCUUGCUGGUAGUGCUUUGUUGUAUCAAUCUGCUAGCUAUUCAGCUUUCUUUCUUUCUUUCUUCUUUUUUUUUUUUUUUUUUUGUUUUCAAAUAGCUUGUGGUUGUAGAAAUAUUUCAAUUAAACUAUACUUAAGUACUUAUUUAGUAUAACUUCUUUACUAGCCAAAAUAAUUUUUUUUUGGUUUUUUAUAAUUUAAUUAUACUUUAACUAGAGUUUUUGGGAUUAAACAAGUGAUAAUUUCUCUCUAUUAAGAAAAACUCAAAAUUUUUUAAUUACUAGAAUGCGUCUAAAUUAAAUUACAAUUAUAGACACUAAAAUAUAGUAAAUUUUUUUUUUUACUCUUUAAAACUGUCUUUACAUUCGAUAUCAUAUUUUUUUCUUAAAAUCUAAAUUGAUAUUUUUAUUUUAUUUUUGAUUAAUCUUAGAACACAUAUAAAGUGAUUCAUAUUGAUUUUAUACUAACAAACUAUCAUAGCACAUUCGAAAAUAAUUAACUCGUUCUUAUUUGCAUAGUGAAAAAGGCAAAUAGCUCACCCAAAUGUUAAGGAACUGGAGAGCUGCUGCUGGAGACGAAAGGAUGUGAAAAGCAUGGUAAAGAAAAAUUGCAUAAUUCUCACUUAGAAGAGGAAGAAAAAAAAAAUACAAUUAGAAUGAGAGGUAGCCAGUAGCCAGUAGCCGCCACCACCACCAGUCAAACUAUUUCGACACACUAAUACUGUAAUACAUAUCAAAAUGCAAUAUCGGUCCUAACAAAAUGAAAAUAAAAAUUCAUUACGAAUAUGUGUUAAAGAUAUCCCAAGUAUUGAUGUGAUUGAAAUAUUUGAGAUUGAAGUAGAAAUAAGACUCAAAAUCAAUUGAGAGGAAUAAAUGAGAAACUCUAAUACUAAUAAAAUAUAUUCACAAAUCCUAAUGCUAAUUAAAAUCACGGAUUAAAAAAAAUAAUAUGAAUGAAUUACAGGCGCAACUGUUUCAUUAAAAAAUUAAUAAAAUCGUGUAUUAAUAUUUUGUACACAUACAUUUUUCCAUAUAUAACUUUUGGUAAUUUAGUUUUCCACUUAUCAUUUUUACUCCAAAAAAAUAAUUGAGAAUAUUAUUUAUGUUUUGGUGCAAAAUAUUUAAACAACAUAAAAAUUUUCAGUUUAAUAAAUCUAAACAAUUCUCAAGUUAUAAAUGAAUUUAAUGGGUUUAAUUAGUAAAAAUACUAUUAUUUUAUAAAUUGGGUUUAGUAAUGGUAUAUUGGGUAUUUAAAUGGGUUUGUUGAGUAAAUUUUAAAAUUUUAAAGUUCAAGGGUAGGUUUAUUUAGUAAAUGGGUUAAUGCAGCAAUUUUCAAACUAAAUUUUUGGAAAAAGAGGCUAUUGAGUUUUUUUUAAGAAAAAGAAUUAAAAUGUUGAGAAUACCUUUAUUUAAUUUUAUAAUCUAAUUUUAAAAAAUUUACCCAAUAAAUUUUAUAAUUUUUUAUAAAAAUUAUCAUUAACAUCCAAACAGCUGAAGAUUAAAAAAAAAAAAAGAAGGGAACUGUACUAGCAAAAGUUAGAUUAACAAUAAAUUUAGUCCAAAGAAUAAAGUUAUAGCUAAAAAGUGCUCCUAUCCUAUUUUUCUCUAUUUUAACAAUAAUCUUCCAAUCCAUUUUACAAUGGACUUAACAAAUGGGCUCAAUCUCUAAACUUCAUUUUCUUUUGCUAACCCAUGGCCAUUAGCCAGAAAGCCUAAAACAAUUUUAGGAUCACAUGUGUAAAUGGAACCCCAAGAUUGAUCAAGAAUUAACAAGACAAGAUGAAGAGAUGAUCUUGUAACUAAGAAUGAAGAAAUUGAAUCAAGACAGUACUCUAGUAAAACCCAGAAAACAGAGCUUGAAGAAUCACGCACAAAGCAGUAAAUUUGUAAAACCAGAAUUGGAGCUUCACUUCUCAAGAUAGACGAAACAGGAUACAAUCUAGCUUUGGUCAACUUCGUUUGGCCACGUCAUAAAGUCUUCCCCCACAGUCUUUCCCGCCAAAACAGAAAAGCUUUAAAAGCCAUUUACCCUCCUGAGUUACUUGCUCCUAUUACAUCAAGGCCCUGUAAGUCUAUAUUUAUUAUUACAAAAGCACCCUUAAACCGAGAUUUGAGAUAUUUUUUCAAAGAUCGAAGCGCAUGAUUUCACGGCUAUGUUGCAUAGUGAAUUUUAGUGCUUUACAGUUAAGGGAUAGUUUAAAUUCAUUACAAAGCAUUCGCAAAGAAAUUGUUUUUAAAUGAAACUCCUCGUCUUGACCAGAUUAUUUAUUAUUAUUAAAAAAAAAAUGUUCAAAACUUAGCCAAAGUGAUAAACUCGUAAUUAUUCUACAAAGGGAACAAUUUUGAACGGUGGGAAAUUCCAUAAUUAUGCUUUUCUGUGAAUUAUUUUAAAUAAAAUUAUAAAAAUUAAUAUAAAAUUAUAAUAAUGAUAGAGCCACAAACUCUUGUACAAAUUUAUUUUAUACAAACUCAUGUGGCAUGAUAAGAUUGGUUGAAUUAAAUAUUACUUGGCCCACAUGAUUUGUUUUUAUUAUUUUAUAUUUUUAUUCAACCAAUAAAUUAAUACCACGUCAGUUUGUACAAAAUAAAUUUAUACAAAAAUUUGUGACUCGAUCAUCACUCAUAAAAUUAAUACCCGGUAAAGACUGUAGAGAGACAAGUGCCCCCAACAGAAUCAAGUGAAUAUGCCCCACAAAGAUCACAUGAUCAUUUCUGUUCUUUUUCUUUUUGAUAAUUUUAUCUGUGGUUUCAACUUUUAUGCUUUAUUGUCGUAUCCCGUUGAGGGCUCCGCUGCACCCAUUACAACUUACCCCUAAAUUGCCUCUUACUAACUAAACCGUUAGAUUUUAUGGAAGCACGUUCAAUGUUGAAUUUUAAUUAUGUCAUCGAAUUUCGUUUAGCUCCUUAAACUCCAUUUUAUUUGUAAUUUCUUCAUAAAAUAUUCAAAGCUUCAUCAAGCUCCUGAUGGACCAUCAUGGCUAGGGGUGCAUUAGAGCCGAACUGAAAUAUGUUAGUUCAGUUCAGUUUGGUCAGUUUAAAUCGAAUGGUUUAGAAUAUAUAAACUGAUCAAUUUUAAUUUUGAAUUGAACCGAACCGAAAAUCAAUUGGUUCACUAUUAGUAUUUUUGUAUAAACAAGAAUGAUUAGUGAUUAUAAUUAAAUUGGACUAAAAAAAAUUCAAACUAAGGUGAAAAAUAUCAAAUCUUAGACAAUAUAAAAAAAAAUAUUAAAUUUUUUUAACCGAAACGAACCGAAUUAUUUUGACUCAGUUUGGUUCAUAAUUUUUUAAACCAAACUGAUUUAUUCCCACCCCCUAAUCGUGGCUCUCUAUCUUUAGUCAUUCACCCUUGAGUUUGAUGCCAAUUGUUGGGUUUCAAAUGAUUAUACACUCAAAUGGAACCCUCAUAACAAAAAACUAACAGAAACAAUAAGAACACGAUGUUAAAAUCUUAAAUCAAUCGCAAAAAAGCACCCAAAACAGAUCGAUUAGGAACAGUUAAGAACAAAAGAUUUGAUGGUUCAAAAUCAUAAUGUGACCUACGUACUUUCAUCCAAGAAUCAUACUAAUUGCUUUACUAGUUGUCAAACUCAAGAUCACAAGAUUGUUUAUCACUCUACAUAAAAAUUUUUUUUAGAAGAAAUACUCCCCAAUUUUUCUCUUAAUAGUUAUGAAUCAACACCCCUAGGAAGCCUGUUGAUUUACUUUUCCUUAUUUCCUAUGAUCGGUUGCUGCAACUUAAUCCUUGCCAAGCUCCAACAUAGUCCAAACACUUUUAACGGUACAGGCAUAGUGCACCUUCAGAAACUUUACAGCUCCUCUUAAAACCUCAGGCAUCGUAAGCACAUUAAGCAGCCGACAACACUCUUCUUCAUUUCUUCAUUGUCAAUUUCCUUCUUGGAACAUUGCUCCAUUGAGAGUCUGCUAGAAUUGCUCCAAUUAUUAUUAUUAUUUAAAAAAAAAAGAAAACCCUGCAAUAAGAGUAUAAGACUAAGCAACGGUCCUUUUUUUUUCCCCAUUCUUGAACCUAAAGUAUUUGAGUAUGCAAAUUAAUAAAUAAAUUCAUUUAUUUUUAUUAAAAUUUUGUAAAAUUAUAAUUUUUAAUAAAAAUAAUUAUUAAAAUUUUGUAAAAUCUAAAUUUAGAAAAAUUCAGUUGGGCACCUCUAUUUGAGAUUUAUUUUUUAUUAAAUUUAGGGAUAUUUUUAUAAUUAUAAUUUUUAAUUUUAAAAGUUUUUAUAAGAUAAAAUAGUCUUUUAAUUUAUUUAGGGGGUAAAAUUGGUGUUUUAUUAAAAUUAUUUAAUUGUGUUAAUGCAAAAGUGGCUAUUUGAUACAAAUGUGAAAAGAAAGGUGGUGCAAAAUAUAUGUUAAAAUUUUAUAUUGGUUGGAUGAACAUAAGCUAAAAUAAAGGUGGUGCAAUGAUAAUUUCCCUAUCCUAAAACUUAAUUGACUUAAUUCUUACGGUGCAAGGAAGAGGUUUCCAAGUUUAAAUCUAAAGGCUUGUAUUUAAUUUGGGGUUGGGAAAGCACUGAGAAAUAAAUGUAACUAAGGAAAAAAAAAAAGUCACGCAGUCCAAAUAAGUAGAUAUAUUUAAUAUGAGGUGGGGAUGGGUGAACUGUAAUUCAGAAAAAAAUAAAAUAAAAUUUUAUAUAAAGUUGAGGGUGUGUUUUAAUGGUUUCUUAUGCUGCGUUUAUUUUUUGGACUAGAGUGAGAAUUCUAAAAAGUGAGAAUCCUAUGAUUAGGUGUGUGGAGUGGGAGUGGGAGUAUGGUAUUUACUUAGACUAAAUAAAAGUAUGGAUUGUCAAUCAGAAUCUCAAUUAUUUGUUACUUUGUCUUGGAUUGAGAGUAAAUUAUUUUAAAUUACAAUUUUAUCCUUAUGUAAAGAAUUAUAAUUUGUAAUUAAAAAAUUAAUAAAAAUAUAUUGGAAAAUAAAAUAAAUAUUUUAUUAUAUUUAUAAAAUAAUAAUAAUUAAUAAAAUUCUUAAUUAUGUAAAUCAUAAUUUUUUAUUAAUUUAAAUUUAAAUUAUGUGAAUAAAAUUAUUAAUAAUAGCAACACAAAUGAAACAUUAUUAUUAAUAAUAUAGUAUAAAAUUAAUAUUUUUUUAGAAUAAAAUAUUUAUUAUUAUUAAAUAAAUAAAUAAUAUUUAUUAAAAUUAAUGUUUAAUAUUAUUAAUUUAAAUAUAAUAUUUAUUUAUUUUUAUUUUAUUUUAUUAAAUUUAAUAAAAUAAAUAUGUUAUAAUUAUUAUUUUUAAUAAAUAUGAUAUUAUUUAUUUUAUUAAAUAUUAUUUAUUUAUUUUAAUUAUGAGGGUAAAAAUGGAAGAGGGGGAGUGGAUUCCCACUCCCACCUCCCCCCAUGGGAGUGGGAAUCCCACUCUCCCCUUAAAAAUGGUAAGUAAAUAUUAGAAUGGGAAGAAUCUACACUCUACACUUUCUAGAAAAUAAACACUACCUUUAUUUAAAUCGAUUUGUUGGAUAUUUAGCUAAAAUGAGAGUAGCUCUCUAAUAAUUAUUGCAUUAUUACAAACAUAUCCAACGGUUAUAAUAGCGCGCUGAAUCAAUGCUUCAGAAGGAUGACAGUCUGAGUGAAAAGGAAAUAAACGCUUUCAAUUGAAUUACUACCACUACACUCCAAUACUCUAUUAUUGUUUGUGUGCUUGCUUGUGGACCUUUUUACUUCUUACUAUCAUUAUUGAAUUCCAUUUCCAAAUUUUCAGCAUACUUUUGCUUUCUUUCAGUAUCUUCAGUUUCUCUUUUGCUUGCUAUCAAUUCAGUUUUCUUCUUGUGAAGAUCGAACGGAACCAUGGUUGCUGUGGGAGAGAUCUUACUCAACGCCUUCUUUCAGGUGUUGUUUGACAGGUUGGCUUCCCGUGAUUUGCUCAGCUUUGUCCGUCAACUUGGAGGCGGGGACGAUUCCGAGCUCAAGAAGUGGGAAAGAAAGCUGAAGAUGAUUCAGGCGGUGCUCAACGAUGCAGAGGAGAAGCAACUGACCGACGAGGCCGUGAAGAUGUGGCUGGACGAUCUCCAAGACUUGGCUUAUGACGCUGAGGACAUUCUUGAGGAGUUUGCUACUCAAGCUUUGGAAAGCAAGUUGAUGGCGAAAAAUCAGGAUCGCAUUGGCCAGGUUCUUAGUUUCAUACCGGCUAGUUUGAAUCCGAAUGCUAUUAUGUCCAAUUAUAGCAUGGGAUCCAAGAUUAAAGAUAUUACUAGCCGGUUGGAGCAACUCUGCCAAGAUAGAAUUGAACUUGGGCUGCAACGGAUUGCUGGAGGGGCAUCAUCAACUACUUCUGCUGCACAUCAGAGGCGAGACAGUUCGAGUGUCCCAACAGAACGUGAAGUAUUUGGAAGAGAAGAAGAUAAGGCCAAAAUUCUUGAUAUGGUAUUGACCGAUACCCCAAGUGAUCGUGCCAACUUUGUUGUAAUACCCAUUGUUGGCAUGGGCGGGAUAGGAAAAACAACUCUUGCCCGGGAGGUCUACAAUGACAAGGCCGUUGAAGAUUCCAAGUUUGAUGUAAAAGCAUGGGUUUGUGUCUCUGAUGUCUUUGAUAUUUUGGGCAUCUCAAAGGCACUUCUCCAGUCAAUCACCUCCGCAGCUAGUGAUCUCAAGACUUUAAAUGAGGUGCAGGUUCAACUGAAAAAAGCAGUUGACGGAAAAAGAUUCUUGCUGGUCUUAGAUGAUGUUUGGAACGAGAACUACAACUUGUGGGAAGACUUAAAAGCUCCGUUCCUGGAUGCUGCACCAAACAGCAAGAUGAUCGUCACCACACGCAAUUCAAGUGUUGCAUCAACAAUGAGACCCAUUGAACAUUUCAAUCUCAAGAGUCUGUUGGAUGACGAUUGCUGGUCCAUUUUUAUAAAGCAUGCAGUUGAAGGUGGAGAUCUUAACGAGGAUCAAAUUUCAGAAUCAUUCCGCAAGAAAGUUGUUGGCAAGUGUGGAGGCUUGCCUCUGGCAGCAAAAACUCUCGGGGGCCUUCUGCGUACGACGAGGCAUGAUGGGUGGGAUGGUAUAUUGGAUAGCAAAAUAUGGGAAUUACAUCAACAUAGCAGCAUUCUCCCUGUGUUAAGAUUGAGUUACCAUCAUCUUCCGUCUCAUUUGAAAAGAUGUUUUGCUUUUUGUGCCAUCUUUCCAAAAGAUUAUGAAUUCACUGAGAAGGAGCUGACUUUCUUAUGGAUGGCUGGAGGUAUUAUUCGACAGUCAAGAAACAAUGAGCAGCUGGAAGAUUUGGGCAGCAAGUGCUUUGGUGAUCUAGUGUCAAGGUCAAUUUUUCAACAAACAGCAAUCUCUGAUAGUUCUAAAUUUGUAAUGCACGACCUUAUCCAUGAUCUUGCUGAAUUGGUCUCUGGAGGAACCAUAUUUAGGUCAGAGGAGGCCAAUACUCUAUCAAGAAGAUUUGAAAGGGUUCGCCAUUCUUCCUAUACCCGUGAUUGGUAUGAUGGUAAAAAUAAGUUCGAGGUUUUCAAUGAAAUUGAACAUCUACGAACAUUCUUGCCGUUAAGAGGUAACUAUUGUACUAGUUACAUAACUCGACCGAUUCUAUCUGAUAUGCUGCCAAAGUUCAAAAGGUUGAGAACGCUAUCUUUACAAGGAUACUGUAUUGGUGAGUUACCAAUUCCAUUUGAAGAUUUGAGACUUUUAAGGUUCCUCAACCUUGCUGACACUGACAUAAGAAGUUUACCUGACUCAACAUGCAAAUUGCUGAACUUGGAAAUUCUGAUAUUAAGAAAUUGUUCCCGUUUGAUAAAGCUUCCGCAGAAAAUGAGGAAUUUGAUCAAUUUAUGCCAUCUGGAUAUAAGAGGUGCGAAGUUGCUGAAGGAGAUGCCAGUCGGAAUGAAAGAGCUGAAGAAGCUUCAAACAUUGUCCAAUUUUAUUGUAGGCAAGGGUGAAUCCGCAUCUGGUUUGGAAGAUUUAAAAAGUUUAAACCUUCUUUGUGAUGAACUUUGCAUUGCUGGAUUAGAGAAUGUGAAUAAUCCACAGAAUGCAAGAGAAGCCGCAUUAUGUGAGAAGCACAAUCUUGAAGCAUUGACUCUAACAUGGUGGCCUCAAUUUGACAGUCCUCGAGGUGUAGUAGUGGAAGAGAAUGUACUUGACGUUUUGCAGCCUCAUAAAUGUAUAAAAAAGGUGGCAAUCAGGAACUAUGGUGGUGCAAGAUUUCCACCUUGGAUAGGAGAUACUUUAUUCUCCAAGAUAGAGCUCCUUGAAUUGAAGAACUGUGACAAUUGUGUGUCUUUGCCAUCGCUUGGCCUAUUGAGUUCACUUAAACACCUUGCUGUUAAAGGGCUGAAGAAACUAAAAAGCAUAGAGUCUGAGGUUUAUGGGGAGGGUUUGUCAAUGCCUUUUCCAUCGUUGGAGGUUCUAAGUUUUGAGAAUUUGCCUGAAUGGGAGUAUUGGGACACCAAUAUCAGAGGAAAUGUGCUCGUUGAAAUGUUUCCUCGUCUCCAUAAACUUUCCAUUGUGGAAUGUCCAAAACUCUCUGGGGAACUGCCUGAGCUCCUGCCCUCCUUGGAGACACUUGUUGUUAUUAAAUGUGAAAAUUUGGUAGUUCCAUUGUCUCGCUAUCCGAUGCUCUGCAGAUUAGAAGUUGAUGAGUGCAAGGAACUAGCGUGCGGGACUCCAAUUGAUUUCAAGUUGAUAAAGUCUGUGACUAUUUCAAAUAGUUCCUUAGACAUGGAUGGAUGCAAGGGGAUGCUAUACGAUGGUCCAGCUAGCUCUUCACUGCCAAAGCCCACGAUUACUACAAAUGUUUUGGAGUUUGGAAAAUUAUUGAAGCCUGGAUUUCAGAUAUUAGAAACGUUGGUAAUUGGCAAUUCUGAACAGCUCAAGUCAUGGAGGCAGCAUGGGGAUUUUCUAGAAGAAUAUAUGGUCGCUCGCCAAAGGUUUAAGAAACCAGUACAAGGGCUGAAUAUGCUCGCUUCCCCUGAAGAGGUAACAAUUGAAGAAAGUUGCGUACGUCUUGUUUUGUUUCCAGAGAUCAAUUUCUUUCCCAGAAAUCUGCGCUCUCUUCUAAUUAACAACAACACUGCUUUCAAAUCCUUACCCGAGGAAAUGAUGGAAAACAAUUCACAACUCGAAAGGUUGUAUAUCAGAGAUUGCGACUCUCUAACAUUCAUCGCAAGACGGAGGCUACCAGCAUCUCUUAAAAGGCUUGAGAUAGAAAAUUGUGAGAAAUUGCAACGUCUGUUCGAUGAUGAAGAGGAUGCUUCUUCUUCUUCUUCUCCUUCAUCCUCGUCUUCCCCAGUGAUGCUGCAACGCCUGAAUAUAAAGAACUGCCCAGAGCUCACCAGUUUAUCAUCGGGUGUCCAAUUCCUUGAGGCGCUUGAAGGCCUCGAGAUAUGGGAUUGUCCAAAGCUGGAGUCAAUACCGGAUGGCCUGCACAAUCUUAAAUGUUUACAGAGCAUUCAUAUAGAUGGAUGUCCAAGUCUUGUUUCCUUGCCCAAUGACAUGCACAAACUGAACUCUCUUCGAGAUUUAAACAUACGGGCGUGUCCAAUAUCGUUUCCAGAAGAAGGUUGUCCUACCAAUCUAACAUCACUUACACUUGGAUAUGUCGAAAUGUAUAAGACACUCGUCCAGUGGGGGUUGCACAGGCUUACCUCUCUUAGAAGCCUCGACAUUUUUGGAUGUGAUGAUGAAGCAGAGUGUUUUCCAGACGAGGAGAUAGGAAUGACGCUGCCCACCUCUCUCACUCAUCUGCACCUUUUUGAUUUCGAAAAAUUGAGAUCUCUGUCUUCGACGGGUUUUCAGAGCCUCACCUCUCUUCAAUCUUUGGAUAUCUGGUUUUGCCCAAAUCUCACAUCAUUCCCAAAGGUGGGCUUUCCAUCCUCACUUGUGGAAUUACGCAUUAGAGAUUGUCCAAAGCUUAAAAAAGCGUGCAAAAGAGAUCAAGGAAAAGAGUGGCCCAAAAUUGCUCACAUCCCUUGCGUUGAGAUAGACGAUAAAUUCAUAUACCAUCCAAAAUCAGAGGUGUAGAGUGUAUUAUUAAGGUCAGUUGAUUUAUGUUAUCCACCAUAACAAGCUCCUCCUUUUUUUUUAAAUAAUAAUUUUGCAGUCACUCGCGUGAUUCCGUUUUCACAAGUCAGAUUGUAUGUUGAGGCUAUUUGCCUUUUAAUCGCAGAUUAAAUUAUAACACUUAUCUUAAAAUUUAAUACCAUAGACAGAUAGACGAUUUUUUAAUCCAAAGUUUUUUUAUUCACUUCAGUUAGCAUUUUUUUUUUCCCCAAAUCAUGCAAGCCGAGAGUUUCAAUCAACAGAAUUUUAUUCACUCAUUGACUUUUCAACUGCUGUGGUUAUUUAUGGGUGAAAGAUAAAUUUCUUAGAUGGUAGAUAUAUCGACAUUUUAGAUUUCAGAUAUUUGUCACCAAUUUCAUUCCUUUUUUUAAAAUUUUUUUUAAGCAAGUUUGACUAAUUUUAACCAGAAUUGGAGUAUAAUAUUUUGGAGCAAGCAUACUUGAAAUUUCUGUCUUCAAUUUUUUUGAUGCUUUUUUAAUUUUGAUCUAGUAAAAAUACAUAGCCUUCACCGGCAGGAUUCUAGUCUUGGCUUUCACCUCUCUAACUCAUCUGUCCCUAUUGGGAUUCCAGAAAUUUAAAUUUCUGUCUUCAAUGGGUUUUCAAAGCCUCACCUCUCUUCGAUUUUUGUGGAUUGGGAAUUGCACAAAUCUCACAUCAUUUCCCGAGGUCGAGGAAAAGAGCGGCCCAAACUAUCAGCGGUGUUGAUUCUCUUAUUAAGGUCAGCUGAUUUCUAUUAUCCACUCUGACAAUCUCCUAUUAGUGUUUUUUUUUUAAAAAAUUUGCAGUUCUGUAUAAUUGAAAUGCCACUCACUUGUUUCCUUCUUCACAGGUCAGAUAGUAUGUUAAAGCUAUUAGUGCUGCCUCAUAGGUUGAUUACUCACAGAUGAAAUCAUAACUUUUAUCUUAAAAUUUAAUAGCAUACACAGAUAGACGAUUUUUAGUCCAAAGUUUUUUUUAUUCACUUCAAUCAAAAUUUUAGAUUGCAGAUUUUUGUCGAGUAUUUUCAUUCCAAUUUUUUCAUUUUUUAUUUUAAACCAGAAUUGGAGUAUAAAAUUUUGGAGCGCGCAUACUCUGAUGCAUGCAAUUAACUGUUUUUAAUCGUUGGAUUUUGAAAUUAAUGAUGGUAAGAUGUGUACUUAUUCUUUCUUCCAACAACCUUGCCUUCUUUCUUCGGUCGCAUAUCUAAUGAAUAUUUCUCUGUUUAGUUAAGGAUGAAUGCUUGGAGUGGGGUACUUGGUAACAUUUCUGCCUUAGAUGAAUCCUUGAAGAAAUGCCCGCAGUUCCUGAGACCAAAUACAGGUCUGAUUCAAAACAGCACCUUUCCCAGAAAAUAUGAUCCAAGGCAAAGUCAUGUUCUGAUAAUGUUUCCUUAAGUACUAAGUUGCAAGGAAACUUGAUUCAUUAACUACAGUUUUUUAUUUUUAGGACCUUGUAUCUGAAAGGUUCAGUGUUUUUUUUUUUCAAAUUUAUUGUUCAGAUCUCAGAGGAGUAUAUGGUUUAGAUUACAAAACACCCAUGAUUAAUUUCAUUUUUUUUUUAAUUUCAGGGAGAAGAAGUGGUCAGUUUCAAUCCGGAAUUGGAAUAUGGCAAUUUGGUUCAAGCAAACACACCUGGUCACUUGGUCAGUGGUCACUUGGUCAGCGAACCUGAACUUUACGCAGUUUUUUCAACUCAGUGAUUUUUGGAACGCAUAUUGGUGUAAGGAAAUCAAAAGAAAUUUAUGCAUUGUCAAAUUCUGAUAUUUGCUAUAUAUUAUACAUUCUAAAGUUUCUCCAGUUUGUUCUCAGAUUACCAUCAUUUUUUGCUUUCACCAACCAAACAAAAACAAAAUGAGUGGCUUUCCGGUGGAUAUUUAAUCGGAGGUAUGACUGGAUUUUUUUCACUUCUGUAAAUCUUGCAUUUUAAACUGGCAAAUUUAACUUUAAUUUUAAUAGGACUUUGUUGGUACCUUGUGUUCCAGAAACUAGAAAGAUGUGUAGUUUUCAGAUAAAGGGGCUUGUAAAUUCUCUAGUAAGAAUCCAAUAAUUUGCUUUUGCACGUUCAUUUUAUUUGUGGAUCCUUGCAUCUGAAUUUGAUCAAUCCAAAAGGAAUUGCUUUUAGACAGAAGAAGAAUAGCAGUACCUAGCCUAUGACAUAGUAUAUGGACCUGCAAACCUGAAACUAUUAGUUUGAGGUAAAAAAUUCAUGACCCUCACAUGUUAACUUCUUCUAGUUACUUUCAUGAAAAACACAUUUAAGAAAUUUGCAAUUUUUUGUUAGUUUCGUAUCCGAUGUUGUUUUCUGUUUUAGCAUUUGUAGAAUCUACUGUAUUAUAUUUUGGCAGUUGCAGUAUCUGAGGUAUGUUUUGCAUUUAACUUGCUUUGUUUGUUUUGCUUGUGACUUAAGAACACCAAUAUUUGCCAGAGAUUUAGAGAAGCAUAUCAAGAUGCUUGGCAAACUUGACAAACUUCAAGAUCCUCCAUUCUUCACAACGCAAAACUUGUGAGUACACCUAUGCCCGCAAUUAUUGUGAAAUGCUUGCAAUUUUGAUGCACUGAAAUGGUUUGUUGAUGCAAAGGUUUAAACUUUUAAGAUUCACCCUGCAGGGUAGUUGGAUGCUGUAUAAUCGAAAAGCGACCAACAUCAAGAAUUAUGACUCCAAGACCGGGUUUGCAUUAAUUCAAUCAGCUGAAAUCAUGAUGCAAAUGACACUAUCAGCUGGACUUAGAGACCAGUCAGAUCAAUCAUCCUUUUAUCAACAGUUAAUGUCAUGAUGGUGGCUAUCGGAGGAAACAAAGGAUGUGUCGGAAUCAAUAUGAACAGUGAGAAGAAUGAGAGGAGCUUUGAUUACAAGUAGGCUCAAUGAACUCAUGCUGGUAAGUGGUAAUUAAAGAAAUUUGUACGCUUAGUAGAGUUUCAAUAUUUUCUGUUUGGGAUAUAGUUGAUAAUUUGAUACUCUGAUUAAGAAGCCUGAUUAUAGUAGCUGACUUUUUUUUUGUGGUUUGCUGUUGUUUAUUCUUUCGAUUAAUUUCAACAUUAGGUUGAUCUGUUGAAGAACAAACUUGGGUUUGAUUAUGCUUUAACUACAAGGAAGAGCCAGGCUUGGAUGCAGGCGUUCAGCUUUUAAUGGGUAAGAACAUAUGUAUGCUUUAACCAUGUUUCUCACUUAUUACAAUGCAUGCAUUGAAGGCAUCUGAGCUGAUCCUGAAAAUGUGAUGGAAAUACUUCUCUGUUUACAUAAAACAGGACAAGAGAUCUCUGAUCAUGCCUGAGAAUUCGUUGCAUUUAAAAUUUCUACCAUUGCCAAAAAUAGAAUAAACUAGGGAUAGAUUAGCUUAAGACUCAAUUUUGAGAAGGAAGUUUGCACAUGCAGCCUAAAAAAUCAUGUCCGUGUUGUAUACUUGUAUGUUUCUUUGGGAAAUGAAAGAUUCUGUGUGUUCUUUUGUUUCAAGUUUGCUGAAAUCACAUUUGUUUUCUUAGAUGCUUUUGGGAAGGUAACAACAUCAAUUUCAUAAAUGCUGGGGUAAGAUGCAUCACGCAGUGCUACUCAACAUGAGAAUUCCCGGCCGCAUUACCUGUAUGUUGAGUGAUCGCACAGUACAACCUUUAGAAGCUUGUAAGGAGUAGACAACUAGAUGCGAAUAGUUUCAAUAUGGAUUCGCAUCAAAUGAUCUCUUGCCAGUGAUUACUAUAACCCCUAUCCCAAAAUUCUUGGCAUUGGUCAUACCAAUAAUGAAGUAUUGUGUACGUUGAAGACAUAGCUCAAGGCCUUGCGAAAGCUCCGUCAGCCUUUGUAUUGGAAAACAGUUGGUUGUAGUUGCUUCUGAGUGAUAUUAUUAAUAGAUACUGUAAAAAUGAACUGUGCCACUCAUUUUCAGAGCCCUGUUAAGAUGUGUUGGUAAUGUGUUUGAAGGUUGUUUGAUUUAUGUUGUAUUCAGCUACAAAUCAAAGAUUCAGAACAUGGUUAUGUUACUGGUUUCCAAAUCAAAAAAAUGCCUUGUGAUGUUAGUGUUCAUUUUUUUCACAGGAGAUCAGGUUCCCUGUUGAUGAAUCAAGAAGGCAAACGCAUCCAUGUCUUAAGUUCAAAUGUGUCUCUUCUAUUUUCUAUUACUGACUCCUUUAUUUUGAUUUCUUCAUUGUAAUGGAAUUGGUUUUUUAUUCCAAAUUAGUCAAAACCUCCUAGAGUCAUUAAGUUCUGUUAGCAUUUGAAGAUAGAACUAGAACUAAAUGAUUGACUGGAUUAAAUUCCGAUAAAGAAUUAAGUUAUAUAUUUAGAGAUAUUAUGUUUUUUUUUUUUUCAUUUGUUCAAUUUGGUUAGUGGUGAUUUCUUAAAG